GCGGUCGGGUACCCCCCACCCCACCCGAAUCCCAGGGGCAGCCCUGUAGGUUUGGUCAACUCAGUGUGUGUCAAUGGGAAAAACCGAGAUCAUCCCCUCAAAGUAGAGAUAGCCAGAGUGAGGCCACAGCGAUUUUAUUUGGAGAAUGAAGGGCAGAACCACAGAGAUCUCAGGAGGGAGGGCAAAGGUAACUCAUCGUCAUCCACAGAGAGGGGACUCAGGAUUACGCUGUGCGUCCAGGCCAUCUUCCCUCCCAGCCCAGCCUUGGCACAAGUCGGCCCCAGGAUCAUCAUGUGAUAGAGCCUGAAGCCUGUCUCCCCAAGUCCCUGGAAAGUAGACAUCUGUGACAAUCCUCCCGAAUCCCAGGGCACAGGGAGCAUGGCUGAGCACGCCAGACUGCCUGGGCUCAAAUUCUGUCCUGCCAUGAACUGCCUGGGUGUCUUUGGACAAGUCAUUUGACAGCUCUGAGCCUCCGCCUUCUCAUCUGAGGACAACAGGAAUAAUGAGGGUACCCACCUCAUGGGGAUGUGAUGAGGCUUAAAGAAGAAAAUGCAUGCAAAGUUUUAGCACAGUACCUGGCAGUGAGUAUAUGUGCAAUAAUAUUAAUUAUUACUAUUUUAUCAAGAGGCCUGGAUUCUGGUCCCAGUUCUGCCACUGUUUUCCCUCCCUGGGCCUGCUUGAGUUUCUGUCUAUAAAGUAGGUGUUAAUUGAUUAAAUGAGAUAAUGGAUGCCAAAGAAGCUUCUGAGAUGAGUGAUUAUUUCUGCCCUUUGAAGUUCACUUCCCCGAGGCUGCAGGGUGUUGUCACCCCCACUCUGUCAGGUCUUUACUGGGCUCUCCGUCUAGGCCAGGACCCGUUGCUGAAGGGUCAGCCCAUCUCCUCCCUUCUGCCCACAAGGCAGAAU
rnacentral:lncRNA from 1 species